AUUUGACCUCAAAUCAGGUAGGGCUACCCGCUGA
rnacentral:rRNA from 1 species